UAGGGCUAUGGAUGGUACUGCGUU
rnacentral:piRNA from 1 species